rnacentral:rRNA from 1 species
GAUGAACGCUGGCGGCGUGCCUAAUACAUGCAAGUCGAGCGAACGGACGAGAAGCUUGCUUCUCUGAUGUUAGCGGCGGACGGGUGAGUAACACGUGGAUAACCUACCUAUAAGACUGGGAUAACUUCGGGAAACCGGAGCUAAUACCGGAUAAUAUUUUGAACCGCAUGGUUCAAAAGUGAAAGACGGUCUUGCUGUCACUUAUAGAUGGAUCCGCGCUGCAUUAGCUAGUUGGUAAGGUAACGGCUUACCAAGGCAACGAUGCAUAGUCGACCUGAGAGGGUGAUCGGCCACACUGGAACUGAGACACGGUCCAGACUCCUACGGGAGGCAGCAGUAGGGAAUCUUCCGCAAUGGGCGAAAGCCUGACGGAGCAACGCCGCGUGAGUGAUGAAGGUCUUCGGAUCGUAAAACUCUGUUAUUAGGGAAGAACAUAUGUGUAAGUAACUGUGCACAUCUUGACGGUACCUAAUCAGAAAGCCACGGCUAACUACGUA